AUUACAUCAUUUUUCUGAGUAUUUAUGAUGUUGUACUGGAAGUUGUUAUCAUAUAAUAACUUAUGUGGUGCAUUUUAUAUUUAUUAUAAUUGAUUAUUUAUAUAUAUAAGUGAGAAGUUAUUAGUAUUUUAUAAGUUGUGAUUGAAAUGUAAGAGUAAAUUGUAGGCUAAAAAUCUAUUAUUAUGUUUAAUAUUUAUUUUGUUUCAAAUUAUAAGUAUUUUGGGUAAAAAUACAAAUAUUAAGAAAAAUAUCUUUAUAUAUUUAGCAUUUAUUUAAAUAGUAAAAUUGACCAAUAAUAAAUUAUAGGAAAUUAUCUCAAAUAGACAUUUUUAAGUUUUUGCGACAAAAAUAGUUUUCAAGGAGAAAAUGACCAAAAUAGACCUUUUAUAUAUUGAAAUUUUUAAUUUUUAAUUUUUAUUUUUUAAAUUUUGAAACUCUAUCCUCAAAACCUCACCCC
rnacentral:lncRNA from 1 species